AGUGUGGCCAGCAGGGUGAGUGAAGUGAUUCUGUCCUUCUCUCUUAGAACCCACCCAGAGUACUUCAUCUGGCUCUGGAAUCCCCAGUAUAAGAAGAACAUGGAAUUCUUCUGUCUCGAGGAGAACUAUGAAAUUGAUAAGAGGACAAGAGUAUUUUCCCUAUGAAGACAGGCUAAGAGAGUUGGGACUGUUCAUCCAGGAGAAGAGAAGGUUGCAUGGAGACCUCAUAGAAACCUUUCUGUAUUGAAGGGGAUCUGCAGAGAAGCUGGAGAGGGACUCUUACAUCAGCAAUUGUAGGGCAAUAGGAGAAAUAAGAGACAAGUUGAAAUGAUCAGCUCUGUGGAGGACAUCUGAACAACUCAACUUCCUCCUAAUUCUGAAGGUAUUUUUAACAAAAUCUACUUGUUUGUUGGUGAGUUGUGGUAAAGAGUAGAAGGAACGAAGAAGGAGGA